CGAGUUCCUGUUCAUAUUUGACAGAUGAAGAACUUCCACGUACGACUUCUGGACAACUCAGAGCUUUUUUCUAACAUCUUCCUGUUCAGAGAUAUCACUGGGUGUUGGAAAAGAAAAGGCUGAAUUACUGGAUUAUUCCUGUAGCUGUGCAGCUGGUAAAGGUUUUUGCAAUCAUGUAGUUGCACUUCUUCACCAGACUGCACACUACUCCCAACUCCAGCUGCCAACUGUUCCUCCUGCACAAGUGAUUUACAAAGAUGGCACAAACCAAGAACACAGGGGAAACAUCCUGAACCUGCCAGCAACAUGGUGGUGCGGAAAAGAUAUCUGCACUCCACACUUUACAGAGCUUACACAGAAGCCAGAACAAGAGAGCAGUCCAGAUGUCCUGCAUGGGUACAUCUUCAACAACCAAGACUUACUGCUAGCCGUUUCCGUGAUGCUGGCAGAGGAAGUGCAGAGGAGUCUGCUGUAAAAAGCAGCAUGAAGAAUGAUGCAUCUCAGGUUGCUCACCUCAAGGUCCAGGAUGAGCACUCAGUUUUGAGGCGUUCACAUGCCUACAGCUGGCAAUCAGCGGAUUGGAUGGUGCGACUUUGUUACAGACACGCUAACAACAAUAACUGUUGGGCGGGUGUGGCGUGAUGAGGCUUUCAUUGAUCAAAUGAAAUCUAAACUGGACUUAUUUUACUUCAACACCUUCAUUGAUGUGUUCAUGUCAAUGCAAUAAGAAUUAUAAAAUGUGUAACUAACCCUUUUGUUCCUUUGCAUUUCAAAUAUCCAAUCUCAAGCUGUGUGAAUCACUGUACAUGGUUGUUACUCAUGCAACAUACAGAGAUGUGCAAAUGUCUCUAAAAGUCAGUUGGAUAAUUUAUUAAAAUUUGUUUUCUUAA